rnacentral:rRNA from 1 species
CGAAAGCCUGACGGAGCAAUACCGCGUGAGGGAUGACAGCCUGUGGGUUGUAAACCUCUUUUCUCAAGGAAGAAGUUCUGACGGUACUUGAGGAAUAAGCAUCGGCUAACUCUGUGCCAGCAGCCGCGGUAAUACAGAGGAUGCAAGUGUUAUCCGGAAUCACUGGGCGUAAAGCGUCUGUAGGUGGUCUAAUAAGUCAACUGUUAAAUCUUGAGGCUCAACUUCAAAAUCGCAGUCGAAACUAUUAGACUAGAGUAUAGUAGAGGUAAAGGGAAUUUCCAGUGGAGCGGUGAAAUGCGUAGAUAUUGGAAAGAACACCGAUGGCGAAAGCACUUUACUGGGCUAUUACUAACACUCAGAGACGAAAGCUAGGGUAGCA